GAGAACACAGCUACUGUCCUCCAACGGAACAGACUCCCAACCCUGAGAGAGGCAGUGGGGGGUCCUACAACGCAGAGGCUCUGGGAAGGAGAGGACCCAGCUACUGUCCUCCAACGGAACACAGUCCCAACCCUGAGAGAGGCAGUGGGGGGUCCUACAACGCAGAGGCUCUGGGAAGGAGAGGACCCAGCUACUGUCCUCCAACGGAACACAGUCCCAACCCUGAGAGAGGCAGUGGGGGGGUCCUACAACGCAGAGGCUCUGGGAAGGAGAGGACCCAGCUACUGUCCUCCAACGGAACACACUCCCAACCCUGAGAGAGGCAGUGAGGGGGUCCUACAACGCAGAGGAUCUGGGAAGGAGAGGACCCAGCUACUGUCCUCCAACGGAACACAGUCCCAACCCUGAGAGAGAGAGAGAGACCAGUCGGGUAGCAGGGAUGUCGACACUCAGCGAAGAUAUAGGAGAGAAGAAUGACAUCGGGAAGAAUUGACAUCUUGGACAUACAGUAUCUGCUCCAGCAUCUGAAUGUGGAACCCAAGCCGAUGGGAAUUUAAAAGGUCAGAACGAAGUUGCCAUUGAUGUAUUUUGGAAUUAUUUUUGUAAUUUAUUUUUUCUCAGAGUCAAAUACAAUGUAACCAAGAUUUAUUCGUUGGAAACCUUUUGCUCUGAAGAAAAGUAUUUUUGAUUUGAUGAGAAAUAUGAAAAUAUAUUUUAAAAGACAUGGGCAAACAGUUACAUGGAUUGGACCACUGUUUGUCCGUGACUCAAUAAAAAGUGCAUUCCUGACCUAUGGAUCGGACAGACUCCAUUUGCUCUCUGUCAGUCAUCACCACUUCUAGCAAUCACAUUGUGCAGAUCACUUGAUACCACUGUACAAGUCGGUGUCACUGUUGGUAUUUACCCUAUGAUUUUUCACUGUCAUCUUCAUCACCACGAUCAUCAUAUUCAUCCUCCUUAAUCUAGCUAAGAUUGUAAACUAUUCUCCAUUUCUAAGGGUCAGUAGAAUAAGGUGUUUUAAAAACGAAAUGUCUAUCAUAAUUUCAAUAUCAAAGUGCACUAUGAUAACUAUUGCCUGUGAUAAAAAAAAGUAACAAUUAUGGUUGAAUUGAUGGUCAAAAUAGAGACAUCCACCUU
ensembl:lncRNA